CCUACGGGCGGCAGCAGUGAGGAAUAUUGGUCAAUGGCCGGAAGCCUGAACCAGCCAAGUCGCGUGAGGGACGACUGCCCUAUGGGUUGUAAACCUCUUUUAUACGGGAAGAAUAAAUGCUACGUGUAGCAUGAUGCCUGUACCUUAUGACUAAGCAUCGGCUAACUCCGUGCCAGCAGCCGCGGUAAUACGGAGGAUGCGAGCGUUAUCCGGAUUUAUUGGGUUUAAAGGGUGCGUAGGCGGUUUUUUAAGUUAGUGGUGAAACGUUGGCGCUUCACCUUGAUUUGCCAUUAAUACUGUAAGACUCGAGUUCAGACGAGGUAGGCGGAAUAAGUUAAGUAGCGGUGAAAUGCUUAGAUAUAACUUAGAACUCCGAGAGCGAAGGCAGCUUACGAGACUGCGACUGACGCGGAAGCACGAGAGCGUGGGGAGCGAACAGGAUUAGAUACCCCAGUAGUC
rnacentral:rRNA from 1 species